GUCUGCCUAACGAUGUCCACUAGACGAUAGCGACUCUCACGUUGUUGUCGUCGUAGCAAAGUGUUAAGUGGACCGCCUGGGAAGUACGGUCGCAAGGCUAAACUCAAAGAAUUGACGGGCGUCACACAAGCGGUGGAGCAUGUGGUUCAAUUCGAAGCAACGCGCAGAACCUUACCUGGGCUUGACAUGCUAUGUUCAGUCUAUGAAAGUAGAUGGCCCCUUAAAGGCGAAUAGCACAGGUGCUGCAUGGCUGUCGU
rnacentral:rRNA from 1 species